AGUCGAGCGAUAUAGCGGCAGACGAGAGAGUAAUAGUAAGGAACUUACCCCCGAGUGAAGGAUAGCUAGCCGAAAGGUUAGGUAAUCCUGCAUAAUAUCGAAAGAUCAAAGCCUUCGGGCGCUUGGGGAGAGGCCUUACGCCUAUCAGCUUGUUGGUGAGGUAAUGGCUCACCAAGGCGAUGACGGGUAGCUGGUCUGAGAGGAUGAUCAGCCUCGAUGGGACUGAGACACGGCCCAUACUCCUACGGGAGGCAGCAAUAAGGGAUUUUGCACAAUGGAGGAAACUCUGAUGCAGUGACACUGCGUGAAGGAAGAAGGUUUUCGGAUCGUAAACUUCUUUUAGUGGGGAGUAAUCUUGAAAGUACCCACUGAAUAAGGACCGGCUAACUACGUGCCAGCAGCCGCGGUAAUACGUAGGGUCCGAACGUUAUCCGGAAUUAUUGGGCGUAAAGAGUUCGUAGGUGGUUUUGUAAGUUGGGUAUUAAAUCUAUCGGCUCAACCGAUAAACUGUACUCAAUACUGCAAGACUUUGUGGUUUGCAGGGGCAGAUGGAAUUCAUGGUGUAGCAGUGGAAUGCGUAGAUAUCAUGAAGAACACCAAUGGCGAAGGCAGUUUGCUAGGCUUUCCAGACACUGAGGAACGAAAGCGUGGGUAGCGAACGGGAUUAGAUACCCCGGUAGUCCACGCUGUAAACGAUGCACACUAGGCAUUUGGAGUAUCGACCCUUCGAGUGCCGAAGCUAACGCGUUAAGUGUGCCGCCUGGGUAGUACGGCCGCAAGGCUAAAACUCAAAGGAAUUGACGGGGACCCGCACAAGCGGUGGAACAUGAGGUUUAAUUCGAUGC
rnacentral:rRNA from 1 species